AGAACGACAGAGGCUCCGCUAAUAUUUGGCUCUCGGGAGAAAAAAAGCUCUCUCAUUCUCUCUGAUCGGGAUUCCUCGUCACUCUCCCGGUUGUCGUCCAUGCAAAAUCUUUUGCUUUCUCUCUCGAUCGAUGUCUGGAAAAGUUUAUAUUUCGAUCUAUCUCGAGAGUGAAGCCGUGGAAUUACAAACCCUAAUUGGGUUUCGAAAUCUCCUUCCUCGAGAUGCUGUCUCAUCGGAGGGACCUCUUUCCGGUAAUAGUGGCGGGCCUCAUCUUGAUGUUUUUCUUGCUGAUUUUGUCAGGGAAAGGUGUUUGUUGGCUCAACUAAUCAAACUCAUCACACCAACGGAGGUAAAUCUCAGAUAUCGUUCUCUUAGUUGAAUUUCAGCAUGUUCUUAACAAGGACCUCUUGCAUCCAAAGCACAAUCAACUACACGUGAUUGGGUUGCCCUUUUGUUAAAGUGCUUAGGUUUCUGGCCUUUUGUUGUUUGGGAGCUGGUAGUCUGGUCUGGUUUCUGAAUUUGUCUUGUAAACUUGAGGAAAAGUGCAUGACAUGUUCUUCAAUUGUCGAAGCACAUAGGGGAAAAUCUGGCAGAAAAGGACAAGAGUUAUAUCAAGUAAUUCUUUGCUGUAUUUUAGAACAUAUACUUUUGAAAAAAGCCACUGGGGCAUUCUGAGAAUCGAACUCGGGACCUCUCGCACCCAAAGCGAGAAUCAUACCACUAGACCAAAUGCCCUGUUGCUGAUGUAAUUCAGUCAAAGAUUAUUUUUCUGAGCAAUUCUUUUGUUUGUGUUUUCUUGGUGAUUCUUUUGAAUGGUUCAAGUUUCUUUUGUUUUAUUUUUUGUUUUCUCGGUGAUUCUUUUGAACUCGGGACCUGUCGCACCCAAAGGGAGAAUCAUACCACUAGACCAAAUACCCUGUUGUUGAUGUAAUUCAGUCAAAGAUUCUUUUUCUGAGCAAUUCUUUUGUUUGUGUUUUCUCGGUGAUUCUUUUGAAUGGUUCAAGUUUCUUUUGUUUUUGUUUUUGUUUUUGUUUUCUUGGUGAUUCUUUUGAAUUGUUCAAGUUGCUUAUAGGUGUUCCGAGAUCUGAUAUCUGGACCUGUUACAUUGUUGCGCUUUCUUUUUACUUUGCUUCUGUCUUCACUUAUUUUUGGUAUCUGAAAUAAACGAAUAGGGAAUACAGUUAUUAGGGAAAAAAUUUAUUAAAAAAAAAAUUCAAAGGGAAUCCCAAGAAUUGAGCUUGGGAAGGCUCUCGUGCCCAAAGCGAGAAUCAUACCGCUAGACCUGAUGACGGCUGUUUGCUGUAGUAUGAGUAUCAUACUACUGGACCUUGAAGAGAGUACUCUACUCUGUUUGCUGUAGUAUGAAUAUAAAAGCAAAUUCGUUGUUUCCAGUUUUAGUAGCAUAGAAAUUACAUGUUAUCUUAUUGCAGUUCCCACAGCUCAAUCCUGGAGGAUUGGGCAAUAUGCCACUAGUGUAGGUGCAUAAAGCUCUUCUGAUGCUUUUUCCGGUAAAUUUCUUGUUUUGGUUGUAUGGAUUAUAGAUGGAAAACUGCUCUCUGGUUUGUAAAAUUGCUGCUGAAAAUUACUUGAAUUAAAUGGUUUUGAAUUGUUGAAGCUUCUUGCUGGAAACAGAGCUGAUACCGGUACAUCUUGUUUCUUAAAUUCUCCAGUUAUUGUAGCACAUUGAUAUUGAUAUACAAAACAUUAAGGGGCAUUCCGAGAAUCGAACUCGGGACCUCUCGCACCCAAAGCGAGAAUCAUACCACUAGACCAAAUGCCCAUCUGUUGUUGAAUUUGACUUGAAAUGCUAAAUGUUGAUUGCUGUUAGCCCUCUUUGAAAGUAGCCCUCUUAGUUGGCUAUUAAGUUUAAUUCUUAUAUAUUGAAAGAAUCUUAGCAAGGCUUCCAAAAUCUGACCUCAGGAGCUCUUGCAUUGUUGCUUUCUCAGGACUUAUUAUCAAGGUUUGCCUUCCUUCUGACAUACUUAUUAUAUGUUUAUAACCCCUCAGGUAUUAUAUGUUGUUGGGGAAAAUUGUUAAAUGAAAAGAAAAGUUUCCAGGGGGCAUUCCGAGAAUUGAACUCGGGACCUCUCGCACCCAAAGCGAGAAUCAUACCACUAGACCAAAUGCCCUAUUACUGAUAUGAUUCGGCUAAAACAGUGUGCUAUUCAUCAGUUCGUGAAACUCAAACUCCUGCCUUCAUUUUUUCUUUAGAAAAGUUAUAUGAUAGUUUUCCUAUUGUUGGAACUAAUGUUUGGAGAAUUGGAUUGCAUGCAGCUGAUGCAAGUGUUAUCCGACAAAUUAUGUUUAAAUUCUUGUUAAAUCAUACAUUGUGGGUCUAAUAUGAAACCAAUUGAACAUUGUGUUUCUUGCUGUCCUACUUGACAUUCUUUACCUCAUAACUGUGACAAGCGUAACAGAUGUUCUCAGAUUCUGCUUCUUGUUGUGUAAAAUAUCAUGAGUCUUGUUUGCCAGCUGUUUGUUUCUUCUGUGAUUCUAAGUAGUUAGAUCUGAAGUAAAAAAGCUGCAUUUUGCAUCUUGUUCUCUUAGUUGACUUUAUUUUUUAAAUAUUAAAAUGUGUUAUUAGCGUUUUCUUCUGAGAUAUGAUAUGAGGGAUCGAUAGCAUCCAAUGCAAGAAUCAUACUAAUAGACGAUAUGACCAAAGGAAAUGGCUGUUUGUCAUUUAUAUUGUUUGAUAUAUGUUUGAAAGCCGAUUUCCAGAACUAUAUCAAAUGACUAAAAUUUCUUGCCCAAGGAUAAUUUUCAGAGAAGCAUUUAGCAUUUUUAUAAGGUUUGAAUAAUUGGCCUUUGCCUAUCUUAAGUCUCUACACAUGAUAUUAUCAUGUAUCCUUAAUGACUGACACAUCUGUAUCAUUGAAGGUUUCCGAGAUACCUACUAGUAAAUGGAAAAAAGAAUAGGAAAGAAAAAUAUUUUGUGAGGGGCAUUCCGAGAAUUGAACUCGGGACCUCUCGCACCCUAAGCGAGAAUCAUACCACUAGACCAAAUGCCCAACCGUUGAUACAAUUUCAUUUAUUAGAACACUAAAGCAGAUGGUGUUUGCAGUUGAUAAGAUUGAUCAUGGCUUUCUAAUGUGCAAUGGUUCAAAAGCUUGUAGUGCAGGUGCUGUUAUCUGAUGUCUUCCUGGUUGAUUUGCUCCUUUUUUUUUGUGCGUGCAACUUGUUUGUUUGAUCUGAAAAGAUUGGAUCUUGUCCUCUUAGUUGAGUUUUAGCGCUUAGCGUUGAAUUAUUUUACCGGGUGUGUUGUUCUGAGAUCUCAUCUCAUGGACGUGUAGCAUCCUAUGCAAAAGAAAAUGACUGUUUGUUGUUUACAUUGUUUGAAUGUUUGUUCGAAAUGCUGAUACUGGGAAAACGCUCUUAGGCUGGAAAUGUUCCGGGAAGCAUACCGGUAGACCAAAUUCCAUAUUUUUCAUUUUUGCUGGUCAGAAUGCAGAGGAUAUGGCUGGUUAGUUCUUGAAAAUGCCAGUUUCUGUUCUGUAACUUUCUCUUGCUGGAACUCUAUGUGCAGUUUCUCUUGCUGGAACUCUAUGUGCACUGUGCAGUUUAAAUAACCUUUGGGGUACAGAGAGGUAUUAACGGAUCCUAUGUUUCAGUUUUGCCUCUUUAGUAAACAGGAUCACAUAACUAGAACGUCGAUGCCCUGGUUUUUACACUAGGCGGAUUCACUAUGUCCUUUUAGCAGGUUUAGAAUCUGUCAUGGGCAGUGACGUAUCCAGAGGUCAUGUGACUAAGAUUUCUUGCCUUGUAAAAUUCUCGAGGAAGUAUUAAAGAUGUUGUCAUGUUCCAGAUAUUCGAUUCAUCUUGGACUUUGUCUAUCCAAAGUCUAUGCUCACAAGAUUCUCUUUGUAUUCUUAAUGACUGACAUAUCUGUGUCAUUGUAGGUUUCAAAAAAUAAGGAAUGCCCGAGAGAGUUAUUGGGCAAUGGAAUAAGAAUUGAAAAGAAAAUUCCAUUUUGGAGGAGCAUUCUUAGAAUCGAACUCAUAACUCUUAAGACCAAAUGCCCCGUUUUUGAGCUGUUUCAGUUGAAAUGCAAAACUAAACUAAACUAUGUUUUGUUGUUCAGCACAUUCUUGAAAAGCAUCUCUCUCUGCCUUGCGAUGUUGUUUUGCUGGAAAUUUUCAGAGAUUUUGUCUUUCAGUUGUUGCAGGUCAAUCUUGGCGACUCAUGCUGAAUACCCCUACUGUAAGUGUCACACUCUCUGAUGUUUCUGUUGAGAAUGAAGAAACGAAUGUAACAUACACGGUGAGAGUUACGGUCCAUAUCGGUGUACUCAUCAGAAUUUUCUUCAUGCAUACGCUUGAAGUUUCCAUGCACGUCACCGUGUAUGUUACCUUCGUUUCUUCAUUCUCAACAGUUUCCUGGUUGAAUCUGUCUUGAGACCAAUCUUGCUUUGAAUUUUUAGUUCGGAGGAGAAAAAAAACCCACAAAAGACAUGUACGAGAAGAGAUAGUCCUUGCAUAUCAGCAAAAACUAACAAUGACAAGAUUGCUUCUUUCUGAUAUUUUUCUGGUCAAAUAUACGACUGCUGCAGCUGUUGGCAUUCUGGGAAUCGAACUCGGGACCUCCCACAGCCAAAAGCGAGAAUCAUACCACUUAGGGCGAAUGCCCUGUCGUUGAGUAUUCCGGUUGAAAUGCAAGAGAAAACUCUGUCUGGUCGGUGCUUUUUCUGAAAGCCGUUUCCUGCUUCCCGCUGAUAUUUUGUAAGUUUAUCUUGAGAUUUUCAGGGGAUGCGUUUUCAAUUGUUGAAGCUCAAUCUUGGAGAAUGAGUUAGAACACCACACAUGUAAGUCCCCACUCUAUUGUUCAAAAUGUUUGACUCAUUGUCGGUAUGCAUGUUUUCUAUAUCCUAGCUGCGUAUAUACGAGAUUUAUAUGUAUUCUAUUAGUUUAAGCUCUGUGAUGAGAAUCAAGCAGAGUACUAGGAACCGGACUUGGCAACUCUUUGCCCCCUAACUGACUACAUACCGUUACAUCGGGUUAGAGCUUACCGAUGAGUAUGGUGAUUGAUCUGUUGUUUUAAUUUUAAAAAUAUAUUAUUUAUGUAUGAUAUUUAUUUUUUUUAUACUAGAUAUUUAUCUUUUUAUACUUAUAUGGAAUGAUAUGUUAUUAUAUUUUUUUUUAUUCUUAUAUUAUGAUAGAUUAUUGUGCUAUUCUUACAAGUAUAUUAUAAUUUUUGAAUCCCCAUUUUUCGUCAUAUAUUCAUUGAUUAUUUUUUGUUUUGUCGUGAACUGUUUUUUUGACCCGUUUAAAAACGGACCCAGGAGCCGCCCCGUCAAACCACGGGUUACGAAAAAAGAUAUAUUUUUUAAUAUAUUUUUUAAGCUUUAUGGGCUAGAGGAUCCGAGUUGGGUCGAGUGUGUUUUGUUACUCGUUAAAUACGGACUGUAACGUUUCAUAUCCCCCUUUGUUGUUUUUAUUUUUUCUUCUUGAUUUGGGUCGAGUGUUUAUAUAUAUAUAUAUAUAUAUAAUGAUACAUGGCAUGUGAAAGCCGCAUAUUGACCAAAGGUACGCUAUGAAUCUGUCCUUUGAAGUU